GCUCUGUUAGUGUAGGCGGUAAGCACGUGGGCCUUUGAAGCCCGAAUCCUGGGUUCGACUCCCAGACGGAGCA
rnacentral:tRNA from 1 species